rnacentral:piRNA from 1 species
UGCCUGAACAUUCACAAGGGAUAUUUAUUC